AGCAAAAUCUCAGGGCUUUGAGGAGGUCAGCAGGAGUCUGGCCACCUCUCCAGUCCGCCCCCAGGAGCCAGACUCCAGCUCGCAGGCAGUAGGCUGGCAUUUGGAGCGGUGUCUCCCCGCAGGAACCCCACCCCUUCCCACCUCCUCGCCCCCCUCCGCUCUCUCCGGAGCCGUCAGUCUCUCCAUUUCCCCCUCCCGGUCUCGUCCUUCCUCCCGUCCCGCUCGCUCUCCCGCCCUUCGCUUUCAUCCUCCUAUCCCCACCUCUCCAACCUCCUCUUUCAUCCCCCUCCCCUCUCCUCUCCUCCCCGCUCCCGCCUGCCCCACCCCUGGGAAGCCCCUCCCGUCGGGCAGCGCCGCCUUAAAAGCGGGUUCCCUUCCCGGGGGCGGCAGCGGCUGGUCGGCGGCAGCUCUGCUGGUGCGGGGGCGGCGAGCAAGACCGAGCGACCGCGACCGGAGCGCGCCGGCCACCGCCCGCAUCAUCCUCCCGCCCGCCCUCCGGACGGCCGCAGCCCUGCGGGUCUCCGCUCGGGACCCACCCCCGCCCCACCCCGCGCGCCUCUGCCGCCUCUUGCAGCGAGCCAGCUUGCCGAGCGGCCGUCGCUGCCGCCGCCGCCACCGCGCCAAGUUCCGGCCGCGGCCACUCUCCGCCGUCCAGGGCUCCUCCGCCUCGGCCCCGGGACCCCGGCUCCCCGCCAGCCCCGGCCCCGGCACCAUGUCGGAGAAGAGCGUGGAGGCAGCGGCCGAGCUGAGCGCCAAGGACCUGAAGGAAAAGAAGGACAAGGUGGAGGAGAAGGCUGGGCGGAAAGAACGGAAGAAAGAAGUAGUGGAGGAGGAGGAGAAUGGAGCCGAGGAGGAGGAAGAAGAGACUGCUGAGGAUGGAGAGGAUGAUGAUGAAGGGGAUGAAGAAGGUAGAGACAGGCAGGGAAGGCUGAGCUGCAAAGUUAAGACUCAGAAGGGAGCAGUUGAGGACUGGAAGCUGGGAUGGGGCUGGGGGGGGCCUGUGCCCAGAGCCACCCAACCUUCUCCAGUGACUCGUUUCUGGUUCCUCAGAUGAGGAAGAGGAGGAGGAGGAGGAUGAAGGCCCCGUGCGGAAGAGAACUGCUGAAGAGGAGGAUGAAGCCGAUCCCAAGAGGCAGAAGACAGAAAACGGGGCGUCGGCAUGAACCCCUGCCCGUGG